rnacentral:misc_RNA from 1 species
UCCGGUUUGUCACCGGCAGCCUCAUUAGAGUGCCCAACUCAAUGUAGCAACUAAUGACAAGGGUUGCGCUCGUUGCAGGACUUAACCCAACAUCUCACGACACGAGCUGACGACAGCCAUGCAGCACCUGGACACUCGGUUCCCCGAAGGGCACAUCCACAUCUCUGCGGACUUCCGAGGGGUUCUAACCCGGGUAAGGUUCUUCGCGUUGCGUCGAAUUAAACCACAUACUCCACCGCUUGUGCGGGCCCCCGUCAAUUCUUUUGAGUUUUAGCCUUGCGGCCGUAGUCCCCAGGCGGAGCACUUAAUGCGUUAGCGUCGGCACCGCAGGGGUCAAUACCCGCGACACCUAGUGCUCAUCGUUUACAGCGUGGACUAC